rnacentral:rRNA from 1 species
UACGUAGGGGGCUAGCGUUGUCCGGAAUCAUUGGGCGUAAAGAGCGUGUAGGCGGUCCGGUAAGUCCGCUGUGAAAGUCGGGGGCUCAACCCUCGAAUGCCGGUGGAUACUGUCGGGCUAGAGUGCGGAAGAGGCGAGUGGAAUUCCUGGUGUAGCGGUGAAAUGCGCAGAUAUCAGGAGGAACACCAGCGGCGAAGGCGGCGCUCUGGGCCGGUACUGACGCUGAGGAGCGAAAGCGUGGGUAGCAAACAGG